rnacentral:rRNA from 1 species
AGCAGCCGCGGUAAUUCCAGCUCCAAUAGCGUAUAUUAAAGUUGUUGCAGUUAAAAAGCUCGUAGUUGAAUUUCGGGAUCAAUACGUCGGUCGUGCUUAGGUACGUACUGGCGUAAUUGAUUUCUCCCUUCUGACGAACCAUGAUGUCAUUAACUUGGUGUCAUGGGAAAUCAGGACUGUUACUUUGAAAAAAUUAGAGUGUUUAAAGCAGGCUCACGCUUGAAUACAUUAGCAUGGAAUAAUGAAAUAGGACGUUCGAUCCUAUUUUGUUGUUUUAGGAUCAACGUAAUGAUUAAUAGGGAUAGUUGGGGGCAUUAGUAUUCAAUUGUCAGAGGUGAAAUUCUUGGAUUUAUUGAAGACUAACUACUGCGAAAGCAUUUGCCAAGGAUGUUUUCAUUAAUCAAGAACGAAAGUUAGGGGAUCGAAGACGAUCAGAUACCGUCGUAGUCUUAACCAUAAACUAUGCCGACUAGGGAUCGGAUGAUGUUAAUUUUUAAUGUACGUCAUUCGGCGCCUUAAC